rnacentral:rRNA from 1 species
CCCUUAGAUGUUCUGGGCCGCACGCGUGCUACACUGAGUGGAUCAGCGGGUCAGGUUGCGCGAAAGUGUUUCCUAAUCUUGAAAUCCGCUCGUGAUGGGGAUUGACGGUUGCAAUUUUCCGUCAUGAACGAGGAAUACCUUGUAAGCGCGGGUCAUCAUCCCGCGCUGAAUACGUCCCUGCCCUUUGUACACACCGCCCGUCGCUCCUACCGAUUGAAUGGUCCGGUGAAAUCUUCGGAUUGCUGACCAAGAUCCAGCAAUGGAGCUUGGUUGCGAGAAGUUGAUUAAACCUUAUUAUUUAGAGGAAGGAGAAGUCGUAACA